CGUAAGGCGCCGAAUGAGUCAUUAAAAAGUUAACAUCAUCCGAUCCCUAGUCGGCAUAGUUUAUGGUUAAGACUACGACGGUAUCUGAUCGUCUUCGAUCCCCUAACUUUCGUUCUUGAUUAAUGAAAACAUCCUUGGCAAAUGCUUUCGCAGUAGUUAGUCUUCAAUAAAUCCAAGAAUUUCACCUCUGACAAUUGAAUACUAAUGCCCCCAACUAUCCCUAUUAAUCAUUACGUCAAUCCUAGAAACCAACAAAAUAAGAUCGAACGUCCUAUUUCAUUAUUCCAUGCUAAUGUAUUCAAGCGUUAGCCUGCUUUAAACACUCUAAUUUUUUCAAAGUAACAGUCCAAAUUCCCCGCAACACCAAAUUAAUGGCAUUACGGUUCAUAAGGAAGGAGGAAUCAGUGAGAUCAGUACAUACCGGAGGCAUGACCAACCUACUAACCCCGAAAUUCAACUACGAGCUUUUUAACUGCAACAACUUUAAUAUACGCUAUUGGAGCUGGAAUUACCGCGGCUGCUGGCACCAGACUUGCCCUCCAAUUGUUCCUCGUUAAGAGAUUUAAAUUGUACUCAUUCCAAUUACGAGAUCCUAAAGAACCCCGUAUUGUUAUUUAUUGUCACUACCUCCCCGUGUCGGGAUUGGGUAAUUUGCGCGCCUGCUGCCAUCCUUGGAUGUGGUAGCCGUUUCUCAGGCUCCCUCUCCGGUGUCGUGCCCUAACACCCCGUUACCCGUUACCACCAUGGUAGGCCUCUAUCCUACCAUCGAAAGUUGAU
rnacentral:rRNA from 1 species